rnacentral:ncRNA from 2 species
CGGGUGCGCGCGGGAGAGCUCGCCGGGUCAGCCGUUUUCGGGUGGCCGGGCGGCGCCGAAGGAGCAACCGCCCCGGAAACUCUCAGGCGAUAGGGACCGCGCGCGCCGU